rnacentral:rRNA from 1 species
GCAAGAUACCACGGGCGCACGGCGGAUGCCUUGGCACAGGGAGCCGAUGAAGGACGCGGCAAGCUGCGAUAAUCCCCGGCGAGGAGCACACAUCCUUCGACCCGGGGGUCUCCGAAUGGGCGAACCCAUGCACAGCAGUGUGCAUAUCCCCCCGCUGAACACAUAGGCGGGGGGAGGACAACCCGGGGAACUGAAACAUCUAAGUACCCGGAGGAGAGGAAAUCAAUCUCGAGACUCCCCGAGUAGCGGCGAGCGAAAGGGGACCGAUGGCCAAACCGUCGAGCGGGCAUACCCGGCAGGGGUUCCGCCGACGGGGUUGCAGGGCCGCGCAUCCGGGGGCUGCCGCCCCCGGGCGCAGGUCCGGCUGGGGAGCGGAACGGCAUGGGAGGGCCGGCCGCAGCGGGUGACAGCCCCGUACGCGAACCCAGACCGGACGGCGCGACGCGGUCCCUGAGUAGGGCCGGGCACGUGAAACCCGGUCCGAACCUGGGUGGACCACCAUCCAAGCCUGAGUACUACCCUGUGACCGAUAGCGCACCAGUACCGUGAGGGAAAGGUGAAAAGCACCCCGGGAGGGGAGUGAAACAGUACCUGAAACCGUGCGCCCACGAGCAGUCGGAGCACCUUUAUGGUGUGACGGCGUGCCUUUUGUAGAAUGAGCCAGCGAGUCGCUGGCGCGGGGCGAGGUUAACCGAAAGGGAGCCGGAGCGAAAGCGAGCCUUAACAGGGCGACUUGAGUCCCGCGCCGCGGACGCGAAGCCGGGUGAGCUAUCCGUGGGCAGGCUGAAGCGGGGGUAAGACCCCGUGGAGGGCCGAACGCACGUCGGUUGAAAACGGCGGCGAUGACCUGCGGAUAGGGGUGAAAGGCCAAUCAAACCCGGAGAUAUCUCGUUCUCCCCGAAAUAGCUUUAGGGCUAGCGUCGCGCGUUCACCGCCGGAGGUAGAGCACCGGAUGGACGAGGGGGCUUCGCCGCCUACCGAAUCCAACCGAACUCCGAAUGCCGGCGGCCCAGAGCGCGGCAGUCAGAGCAUGUGGGCUAAGCUGUGUGCUCGAGAGGGAAACAGCCCGGACCGCCCGCUAAGGUCCCCAAGUUCCAGCCGAGUGGCAAAGGAUGUGCGUCCGCCCAGACAACCAGGAUGUUGGCUUAGAAGCAGCCAUCCAUUCAAAGAGUGCGUAACAGCUCACUGGUCGAGUGGACAUGCGCCGACAAUACACGGGGCUAAGCUGGACACCGAAGCGGCGGGAUUUUAAUUCAUUAGAAUCGGUAGGGGAGCUUCCCAUGGGCGGAGAAGCCGGAGGGCGACCGACGGUGGAGCGCAUGGGAGUGAGAAUGCUGGCAUGAGUAGCGAGAGACGAGAGAGUAACUCGUCCGCCGUGAACCCGAGGUUUCCUGGGCAAGGCUAAUCCUCCCAGGGUCAGUCGGGGGCUAAGGCGAGGCCGGUAGGCGUAGCCGACGCGCAGCAGGCAGACAUUCCUGCACCGCGCACGCGGCGCUACGACCGACGGGGCGACGGAUGGGGGUGGCUCGGCGGGGUUCUGGACGUCCCCGUGAUGGAGCGCGGCCCGCGGACCAGGGAAAUCCGGUCCGCAGAAGGGCGAGGCUCCGGACGAAGCGACUGAGCGAAGCGAGUGAGCCCGAGGUCCCUAGAAAAACCCCUAGGCAGGCGCGUGCGCGCCCGUACCGCAAACCGACACAGGUGGGUGGGUAGAACAUACCGAGGCGAUCGGGUCAACCAUGGUCAAGGAACUCGGCACAAUGGCCCCGUAACUUCGGGAGAAGGGGUGCCCGCGCGUACGUGAACGGACUUGCUCCGGGAGCGGAGGCGGGCCGCAGUGGAGAGGCCCAAGCGACUGUUUACCAAAAACACAGGACUCUGCAGAAGCCGCAAGGCGACGUAUAGGGUCUGACGCCUGCCCGGUGCCGGAAGGUCACGCGGAGGAGUUAGCCGAUUCGGCGAAGCCCCGAAGCCAAGCCCCGGUAAACGGCGGCCGUAACUAUAACGGUCCUAAGGUAGCGAAAUUCCUUGUCGGGU